AAUAGAUACCCGGGUAGUCCACGCCCUAAACGAUGUCUACUAGUUGUUGGUGGAGUAAAAUCCAUUAGUAACGCAGCUAACGCGUGAAGUAGACCGCCUGGGGAGUACGGUCGCAAGAUUAAAACUCAAAGGAAUUGACGGGGGCCCGCNACAAGCGGUGGAUUAUGUGGAUUAAUUCGAUGCAACGCGAAAAACCUUACCUGGCCUUGACAUGCCACUAACGAAGCAGAGAUGCAUUAGGUGCCCGAAAGGGAAAGUGGACACAGGUGCCGCAUGGCUGUCGUCAGCUCGUGUCGUGAGAUGUUGGGUUAAGUCCCGCAACGAGCGCAACCCUUGCCAAUAAUUGCCAUCAUUCAGUUGGGCACUUUAUUGGGACUGCCGGUGACAAACCGGAGGAAGGUGGGGAUGACGUCAAGUCCUCAUGGCCCUUAUGGCCAGGGCUUCACACGUAAUACAAUGGUCGGUACAGAGGGUAGCCAAGCCGCGAGGUGGAGCUAAUCCCAGAAAGCCGAUCGUAGUCCGGAUUGCAGU
rnacentral:rRNA from 1 species